rnacentral:rRNA from 1 species
CUGAGUACGGCGGAACACGUGAAAUUCCGUCGGAAUCCGGGAGGACCAUCUCCCAAGGCUAAAUACUCCCUAGUGACCGAUAGUGAACCAGUACCGUGAGGGAAAGGUGAAAAGCACCCCGGAAGGGGAGUGAAACAGUUCCUGAAACCGUGUGCCUACAAGUAGUUAGAGCCCGUUAAUGGGUGAUAGCGUGCCUUUUGUAGAAUGAACCGGCGAGUUACGAUUUGUUGCAAGGUUAAGCGGAAAAAGCGGAGCCGUAGCGAAAGCGAGUCUGAAUAGGGCGCAUAAGUAACAGGUCGUAGACCCGAAACCAGGUGAUCUACCCAUGUCCAGGAUGAAGGUAAGGUAAUACUUACUGGAGGUCCGAACCCACGCACGUUGAAAAGUGCGGGGAUGAGGUGUGGGUAGCGGAGAAAUUCCAAUCGAACUUGGAGAUAGCUGGUUCUCUCCGAAAUAGCUUUAGGGCUAGCCUCGAGGUAAAGAGUCAUGGAGGUAGAGCACUGUUUGGACUAGGGGCCCUUCUCGGGUUACCGAAUUCAGAUAAACUCCGAAUGCCAUGUACUUAUACUCGGGAGUCAGACUGCGAGUGAUAAGAUCCGUAGUCGAAAGGGAAACAGCCCAGACCACCAGUUAAGGUCCCCAAAUAUAUGUUAAGUGGAAAAGGAUGUGGGGUUGCUUAGACAACCAGGAUGUUGGCUUAGAAGCAGCCACCAUUGAAAGAGUGCGUAAUAGCUCACUGGUCGAGUGACCCCGCGCCGAAAAUGUACCGGGGCUAAACAUAUUACCGAAACUGUGGAUGAACCUCUUUAGAGGUUCGUGGUAGGAGAGCGUUCUAAGGGCGGUGAAGUCAGACCGGAAGGACUGGUGGAGCGCUUAGAAGUGAGAAUGCCGGUAUGAGUAGCGAAAGAAGGGUGAGAAUCCCUUCCACCGAAUAUCUAAGGUUUCCUGAGGAAGGCUCGUCCGCUCAGGGUUAGUCGGGACCUAAGCCGAGGCCGAUAGGCGUAGGCGAUGGACAACAGGUAGAGAUUCCUGUACCAGUGCUAAUUGUUUAACCGAUGGGGUGACACAGAAGGAUAGGGAAUCGCACGAAUGGAAAUGUGCGUCCAAGCAGUGAGUGUGAGAAGUAGGCAAAUCCGCUUCUCGCGAAGCAUGAGCUGUGAUGGGGAAGGAAAUUAAGUACGGAAGUUCCUGAUUUCACGCUGUCAAGAAAAGCCUCUAGGAAGAGUAGUACUGCCCGUACCGCAAACCGACACAGGUAGAUGAGGAGAGAAUCCUAAGGUGAGCGAGAGAACUCUCGUUAAGGAACUCGGCAAAAUGACCCCGUAACUUCGGGAGAAGGGGUGCUCUAUUAGGGUGCAAGCCCGAGAGAGCCGCAGUGAAUAGGCCCAGGCGACUGUUUAGCAAAAACACAGGUCUCUGCAAAACCGUAAGGUGACGUAUAGGGGCUGACGCCUGCCCGGUGCUGGAAGGUUAAGAGGAGUGCUUAGCUUCGGCGAAGGUACGAAUUGAAGCCCCAGUAAACGGCGGCCGUAACUAUAACGGUCCUAAGGUAGCGAAAUUCCUUGUCGGGUAAGUUCCGACCCGCACGAAAGGCGCAACGAUCUGGGCACUGUCUCAACGAGAGACUCGGUGAAAUUAUAGUACCUGUGAAGAUGCAGGUUACCCGCGACAGGACGGAAAGACCCCGUGGAGCUUUACUGCAACCUGAUAUGGAAUGUUUGUACCGCUUGUACAGGAUAGGUAGGAGCCGAAGAGACGUGUGCGCUAGCAUACGAGGAGGCAAUGGUGGGAUACUACCCUGGCUGUAUGACCAUUCUAACCCGCCACGCUUAGCGCGUGGGGAGACAGUGUCAGGUGGGCAGUUUGACUGGGGCGGUCGCCUCCUAAAGAGUAACGGAGGCGCCCAAAGGUUCCCUCAGAAUGGAUGGAAAUCAUUCGCAGAGUGUAAAGGCACAAGGGAGCUUGACUGCGAGACUGACAAGUCGAGCAGGGACGAAAGUCGGGCUUAGUGAUCCGGUGGUUCCGCAUGGAAGGGCCAUCGCUCAACGGAUAAAAGCUACCCCGGGGAUAACAGGCUUAUCUCCCCCAAGAGUCCACAUCGACGGGGAGGUUUGGCACCUCGAUGUCGGCUCGUCGCAUCCUGGGGCUGUAGUCGGUCCCAAGGGUUGGGCUGUUCGCCCAUUAAAGCGGCACGCGAGCUGGGUUCAGAACGUCGUGAGACAGUUCGGUCCCUAUCCGUCGCGGGCGCAGGAAAUUUGAGAGGAGCUGUCCUUAGUACGAGAGGACCGGGAUGGACACACCGCUGGUGUACCAG